AAAAAGACCAGACCCGUAUCCCUCUUAUGAUCGUGCCCUAGGCACGAUCGUGAAGGAAGCCAUUUUGAGGGAGGGGCGGCGGCGUUGGAGCGGAGGUCGCCGGAGGAGACCGGAUGCCGGAGAGGAGGCCAAGCGCCGAGAUCCGGUCGGCCGUGGAGGAAGUUCCUUCGGUGAAGAUCCUCCACAAAUCGGAUGAAGAAGCGUGGAUCCGAGGGGAGUUGCUCACGGUUCCUCCUCCGAUUUCUCGCCGAAAGGAUUGCCGGAACGCCCCGCCGGACCGAGAGGCACUGGAUUUGUAGAGACCAUUGGGUGGGACGAGAAAUAAGAUCAGCAUGGAGUCUGAUUGCUGGAUAGAUAGAAGUUAAUCUAUCUUUUAUUUAUGGAUAUUUGAAAUUAUGUAAUAAAUCAGUACAUUUUAGUUGGUUUGUUUUAAAUACAUUAAUUAUGGAUUUAUUGGAAUUUUUGUUUAUCUUAGGCCUUGCAUGAUCUUUAGGGCACUGCUCUAGGGCUCAUGCGGCCGGUCGCGUGCCGGACCUGGGUGCUGGGUUCGGGGCGUGACAGAAAUCAUCACAUUAUAUAUCAAUGCAAAAUCACUUGCAAGUCUUGGCAUUAAGCAA